rnacentral:rRNA from 1 species
AACGAACGCUGGCGGCAUGCCUAACACAUGCAAGUCGAACGAGACCUUCGGGUCUAGUGGCGCACGGGUGCGUAACGCGUGGGAACCUGCCCUUAGGUUCGGAAUAACUCCCCGAAAGGGGUGCUAAUACCGGAUAAUGUCUUCGGACCAAAGAUUUAUCGCCUUUGGAUGGGCCCGCGUUGGAUUAGCUAGUUGGUAGGGUAAAAGCCUACCAAGGCGACGAUCCAUAGCUGGUCUGAGAGGAUGAUCAGCCACACUGGGACUGAGACACGGCCCAGACUCCUACGGGAGGAAGCAGUGGGGAAUAUUGGACAAUGGGCGAAAGCCUGAUCCAGCAAUGCCGCGUGAGUGAUGAAGGCCUUAGGGUUGUAAAGCUCUUUUACCCGGGAUGAUAAUGACAGUACCGGGAGAAUAAGCUCCGGCUAACUCCGUG